UGUCAUGUCAGUUGUGCAGUCCACAGAGAGCCAUGUGCCAGAGUUGAGUAAAGCUGCGAAGAAAUCUGCUCAUAAUGACGAGGAAGAUUUCUCUGAUGAUGACAAAUGGCUAGAGGCGCUAGAAAAAGGCUACUCAAAUAAUUAUGCUGACAUUGCUAAAAAGGAUCCAGCCUUGUUGACAGCUCGACAGAAAGCUUUACUGCAUGGGAGUCAGCAAGAUGAACUGUUGCAGCUUCCAUCAGGUUACAAAACCGUGGAGCUUACUGAUGAGCAGAAACGGCGGCGGCAGGAGAAAGCUAAGAGAAGACGUCAGCAGGCUAAUGAAAAAAUGGAGAAUG
rnacentral:sRNA from 1 species